rnacentral:rRNA from 1 species
AAAGAAAAUAACAAUGAUUCCCCUAGUAACUGCGAGUGAAGAGGGACAAGCUCAAAUUUUAAAUCUAUCGGGUUUUACCCGAUCGAGUUGUAAUUUGAAGAAGCGUUUUCUGCGUUUUUGGUCAGCCCAAGUCCUAUUGAAUGAGGCAUCAUGGAGGGUGAUAAUCCCGUCCGGUUGAUCAUUUGCGUUUUACGAUACGCUUUCUAAGAGUCAAGUUGUUUGGGAUUGCAGCUUAAAAUGGGAGGUAAAUUUCUCCUAAGGCUAAAUAACGGCGAGAGACCGAUAGCGAACAAGUACCGUGAGGGAAAGAUGAAAAGAACUUCGAAAAGAGAGUUAAACAGUACGUGAAAUUGUUGAAAGGGAAACGAUUGAAGCCAGUCGUACCUUCGGGUAAUCAGCCUUUCGGGUGCGAUUCUGUGGAGUGUGAGGAGCUUAACACCUUCAUGCUUUGCAUAUUUGUGCUCUUGGGUGUACUUGCCCGUGUGGUUGGUUAACAUCAAUUUUAAUUAUCAUAAAAUGACUGGAGGAAUGUAGCUUCGAUCUCGUAUUGAAGUGUUAUAGCCUUCGGUAGAUGUGAUGAUCGAGAUUGAGGAUUGCAACGGAUACCCUUCGGGGCUACCUGUCUGGUCUCUGAUCGUUGCUCUGGUGCCGAAAGCGUGCUUACGGUUAUCAAAGUCGAUGGUCAAUAGGUUAGAACGGGUUAAAUU